rnacentral:lncRNA from 1 species
UCUUCUUCAUCUUCUCCGAUCACCACUACCAUCAACACCGUCGCCGCCAUUGACGCCGCCACUGAGGAGGAUGGUCCAAUCUCCAUUUCACCAAAUACUUCAACAUCCCCAAAUUCUCAAAAAAUCUCAAUUUACAACGCUUUCUUCUACCAUCACCAUUGUCGCCGGAGAUGAGGACCACCUUCCAUUUCACAAAUUACUACACCACCCCCUGCAUUUUCACAAAUACAAGUACAUUUCUCUUUAAAUUACUCUUCAUAUACGGAAGAGGCUGCAUUUUAGUUCUACAUCAUCAUCAAAAAAAUAUUUUCCCCAAUGACAAUCAUUAUUAAGCUCUUCAUCA